CUUCGUAGUGACAGUGACGAUUCUAGAGAAGAUUCCACCUCUCAGCGCCUUGACACGGGGACGCUGCCCUUGCCCGUCCCUGGCUGUCUUUUAUCCCUUUUUUCACAGUACAGGGGCGGGAACCCAGGGCCUCGCACGUGCCAGGCAAGUGCUGUCCCCCUGAGCUCCCCACCAGCGCUUUGUCCUUUGUCCUUGAGACGAUGGAGCAUCCCUUCCAUGGAUGGGCCUCCCACAUCUGUGUCAGAGCCAAAGUCACCCUGACCUCUGCCCUGUUGGCACGGUGUGCUCUUCCUUCUCUGCCACCUAGAGCCAGCAUGUGGCUUGUGAGAUUAAGCAGGCAGCGCUCCUGGCCCGCGGGGAAUGAUGGGUGGAGUUUUGUUGGUUUUUCUUUUCCCUCUGUCUCAGGUUUUCAGUGCCUGUCUCUCCUACGCCCAGAGUUAUUUAGCCUCUUUGUGCAUCUGUUACUCCAUAUUAAAAACAGGGCUCCUGCCGUGGGUGAGGUUGUUGAGCAACCCUUGUGCUCGUGAGGCACGUGGAACUGCCUGGCACGUGGCACCAUGCAGCGCAGCGAGCCCAACUGUCACCCAGCUGCUGUUGCCAGAUCCCUCGCCACAUGAGGCAGGCGCGGCCCCACAUUCCUCUUGUCCUGGUGUGCAGGUCCGUUUGUAGCAGGACCUUGUCACCCCUCCCUCCCACACAAGGACCCUCCUCCCUUCCCUUGAAUCUGGGCUGGCCUCACACUUGACCAAUGAGAUGGCCCUGAAGUGACACCAGGUGGUCUCUGAGACUCCAGAGUUCUCCUGGUUUCCACUUUAAUCUUUUGGAAUCCCGCCCUCUGAGGAAGCCAGUCUCACCUAAGCCACCGGAGGAGGAUAGGGCACCCCACCAGCACCCCCUUCAGCCACAUGUUCAAGUGAGGCCACCUCAAGACUCCUGCCCAGGUGGCCCUCCCCCUGAAUGGAGCCACUGAUGAACCAGCCCAGGAAACUGCGCUCAACGGGUUAUCUUCCUUAAGAGUCAGGUCGACCGUUCUGCUUCCCUCGGCCGCAGAUAAAGAACGCCAGCUGACGCUUACUUGAAUUCUAUGGGAAGCUGGAGUUCAUCUUUAUCGUGUACAACAGAAAUCUUAAUUUUCCACUUCUGUUAAGCUCUUCUCAUUCCUGAGGCAAAACCAGAAGGCGAAAAAUCUUCAAAGCUGUUGAACUGUUCACGUCUUCUCGGAUUCUAGCUUUAAGAUGGAGCUGAGAAGACAGGACAGAUUAAUUAAUCCGAGUGUCGCAAGUGUAAUUAUUGGCUUUACUCCCCAGAUUUUCAAUGUAGCAAAUUUAGCUGAUAGUUAAAAUUUGAGGGUUCACGUGACACAAACAUUUGUUGAUCAAUUGGCAUAAACCCAAACUUAAAUAUAUAUAUAUAUACAUAUUUCCUUAGAUUGGUAGGAAGGAAAAAAUAAAUGGGCCGAUUUUUAUAGAAAAAAAUCUAAUAGGUACCAUCCAGAGUUUAAGAAAAGUUAAUGGCUUCAGCCUUAAUGACUUUUAUCAUCAUUUUUCUUAAUUAAAAAAAAUUUUUAGUUGAA